AACCGUAAUUUAGUACUUGAAGCAAUUAACCACCAGUUCAGUAGAUACCUAUAAGUUUUCCUUAUAAUUUUGUACAAACUGUAAAAACUACGAUAAACCAUUUAUGUGAGGAAAUAAGGAAACUCGAAAUAUAAGAGAAGAUCAAAUGUUGUACAAAAUUUCUGUUUUCUUUGGCUCCAGAAAAUUAUUGUUCAUGCCGUUUUCAAAAGAAAAUAACAAGUGCAGAGCUCUCCCAUAAUCAACAUCAAUCGUAAGCUCUUUUGCGUAGUGUUGUUUACAUGUAUUUCGAACAAGACCUUUCACACUCAUCGAGGCAUAUGGUAAUUUUUACUUGUCCAGUGACAAAAAAACUUCUCCUACUCACAGUCAAGGAGUUUAUUUUUUAACUAGCCAUACAUACUACGCAUAUAUAGUGCAUAAAAAACGACCAUGGUGACAAUUCCUGGAAAAAGCAACCCAAAAAGAAUUAGCGAGAACUCUUGCGAUCGCUCUCGGGCGAACUUCGUCCAACUUUCAUGAUAUGCUAUUAAGUUAACGGGAAAUGAACGUAUUGGCAAGCUCAUGCCUCACUUACCAUACAAAAUGAAAGAUGAAAGAAAGCAAGUUAAACACCAUAUUCCAAACAAAAUCCACCCCAUGAGAGAGAAGUCAGUGAAUGAAGCUUUCCUAAAAAAUAAACAAGCGAAGAAAAUAAAAUUAAACGGUAACAGCAGAAAUAAUGAUUGUGCAAGCUUUACUCCAUUAGUUACUCCGUUCUUAGCAAAAGGUCUUAGUCUAAAAGUCUGCAUGUGUCUAUUAUUUUCAUAUGUUUUCAUUUGGAACACAACAUUGGAAGAAUUAGUUACUCCGCUCUUAGCAAAAGGUCUUAGUUUAAAAGUCCGCAUGUAUAUAUUAUUUUCAUACAUAUCCAUUUCGACCACAGCGUCGGAAUCAUAAUGUGGAGGUUCUGAAAAAGAAAAAAAAUAUUAG